UGAAAUGCAUAGGAUUUGAUACCAGAACACCGAUAGCGAAGGCAGCUUACCAAACUGUAACUGACGCUCAUGCACGAAAGCGGGGGAGCAAACAGGAUUAGAUACCUGGUAGUCCACGCUGUAAACUAUGAUCACUCGCUGUGGGCGAUACACUGUCAGCGGUUUAGCGAAAGUGUUAAGUGAUCCACCUGGGGAGUACGAUCGCAAGGUUGAAACUCAAAGGAAUUGACGGGGGCCCGCACAAGCGGAGGAGCAUGUGGUUUAAUUCGAUGAUACGCGAGGAACCUUACCUGGGCUUAAAUGCAGAACGACCUCCCGAGAAAUCGGGACUUCCUUCGGGACGGACUGCAAGGUGCUGCAUGGUUGUCGUCAGCUCGUGCCGUGAGGUGUCGGGUUAAGUCCCAUAACGAGCGCAACCCUUAUCCUUAGUUGCCAACAGGUAAUGCUGGGAACUCUAAGGAGACUGCCUACGCAAGUAGUGAGGAAGGUGGGGAUGACGUCAAAUCAGCACGGCCCUUAUGUCCAGGGCUACACACGUGCUACAAUGGUCGGUACAGAGGGCAGCUACCUGGCAACAGGAUGCUAAUCUCGAAAGCCGAUCUCAGUUCGGAUUGGAGUCUGCAACUCGACUCCAUGAAGUUGGAUUCGCUAGUAAUCGCGCAUCGGCCAUGGCGCGGUGAAUACGUUCCCGGGCCUUGUACACACCGCCCGUCAAGCCAUGGGAGCUGGGAGUACCUGAAGUCUGUUACCGCAAGGAGCGGCCUAGGGUAAAACCAGUAACUGGGGCUAAGUCGUAACAAGGUAACCAAGGGCGAA
rnacentral:rRNA from 1 species